AGAGGAAUAGUUCAGUGGUAGAACGUUGGUCUCCAAAACCGAAGACGGGAGUUCGAGCCUCUCUUCCUCUGC
rnacentral:tRNA from 1 species